rnacentral:rRNA from 1 species
AUCUAUGGCCAUGCCACCCUGAACAAGCCCGAUCCCAUCUGAUCUUGGAAGCUAAGCAGUGUCAGGCCUGGUUAGUACUUAGAUGGGAGACCACCUAGGAAGACCAGGUGCUGUAGGCG